CUCAGUGAACAAGAGGAGUGAAGUACCUGAAUGUCAGAGCAGUGACAACAGACCUGGUUUAAAAAUAGAACACCACAAGUGUUCUUCAGAUAGCCUUGCACAUAAAACACGGAUGCCUCCUAUGGAAGAAAACGUAACUCACAGACUCAAUCACCUGGAAUCUGAGGACCAGAGGGAUGAUGUCCUCUUUGAUACAGCUCAGCUUCCGUUUAAAAAAAAAAAGAAUUCCAUCAGGAUAACAAGUUACAGUUAAUCAUCAUAUCUCCUGAGGCUCCUCUUGGCUGUGACACAUAUUCAGGGGCAAAGGCAGACACUUUUGGAGUGAUAAAAUUCCAACUCAGCUGUAAACAUUUCCAUGAAUUAAGAAUUCAAUGAAAAAUCAGAACACCAUAAAGAAAGAAGCAUCAUGAGACUGAGCCAAAAGAAAUAAUUGUGAGAAGAAUAAGAGCAAAAUAUAUUUCCAGUAUUGGAACUAGAUACACACAGAUGUGGCAGAGAUACCAAUGUUUAACACAUGAUACAUCAAUAAAAAUUACAGUAUUAUUUUCUAUUCAUAACAACAGAAA
rnacentral:lncRNA from 1 species